rnacentral:rRNA from 1 species
UACGUAGGUGGCAAGCGUUAUCCGGAAUUAUUGGGCGUAAAGCGCGCGCAGGUGGUUUCUUAAGUCUGAUGUGAAAGCCCACGGCUCAACCGUGGAGGGUCAUCGGAAACUGGGAGACUUGAGUGCAGAAGAGGAGAGUGGAAUUCCUGGUGUAGCGGUGAAAUGCGCAGAUAUCAGGAAGAACACCCGUGGCGAAGGCGGCUCUCUGGGACGGUACUGACGCUGAGACGCGAAAGCGUGGGGAGCAAACAGG